UUCUGGAUUUAGUACAGAGCAUUCGAUA
rnacentral:sRNA from 1 species